ACGGUGAGUAUGUCUGGGAACUGCCUGAUGGAGGGGAUACUACUGAAAGGUUUGCUCAUACGUAUAUCGUCGGCAGACCUACGAGGGGACCUUCGGGCCUCUUGCCAUUCUAGAUGUGCCAGAUGGGAUAGCUGUAGUGGGGUACGGCUCACUAGCAACUAUCCCUAGCUGGUCUGAGAGGAUGACCACCCACUGGAACUGAACACGGUCCACACUCCUACGGGAGGCACAGUGGGGAAUAUUGCCAUGGGCGCAGCCUGAUGCAGCCAUGCCCGCGUGUUUGANGAAGGCCUUCGGGGUUGUAAAGUACUUUCAUGCGGGGUAGGAAGGUGUUGUGGUUAAUAACCACAGCGANAUUGACGUUACCCGCAAAGGAAGCACCGGCUAACUCCGUGCCAGCAGCCGCGGUAAUACGGAGGGUGCAAGCGUUAAUCGGAAUUACUGGGCGUAAAGCGCACGCAGGCAGUCCUGUCAAGUCGGAUGUGAAAUCCCCGGGGCUCAACCUGGGAACUGCAUUCGGAAAACUGGCAGGCUAAGUCUUGUAAGGGGGGGUAAAAUUCCACGGUGUAGCGGUGUAAAUUGCUGUAGAGAUCUGGAGGA
rnacentral:rRNA from 1 species